GUGUCAGCCGCCGCGGUAAUACGGAGGGUGCAAGCAUUAAUCGGAUUUAUUGGGCGUAAAGGGCGCGUAGGCGGGCGCGUAAGUCAGAUGUGAAAGCCCGGGGCUCAACCCCGGAACUGCAUUUGAAACUGCGUGUCUAGAGGGUAGGCGGAGAAAAUAGAAUUCCACAAGUAGCGGUGAAAUGCGUAGAUAUGUGGAAGAAUACCGGUGGCGAAGGCGAUUUUCUAGCUUAUACCUGACGCUGAGGCGCGAAAGCAAGGGGAUCAAACAGGAUUAGAUACCCUGGUAGUCCUUGCCGUAAACGAUGUAUACUUGGUGUAACCGGAAUCAACCCUGGUUGUGCCGUAGCUAACGCGAUAAGUAUACCGCCUGAGGAGUACAGUCGCAAGGCUGAA
rnacentral:rRNA from 1 species